GGAUUUCAUCAGUUAAUGCUAUGUCAGCCCUUUGUGAAGCUACCGGUGCUGAUGUUACACAGGUGUCCAAUGCUGUUGGUAAGGACAGCCGAAUUGGACCCAAAUUCCUCAACGCCAGUGUUGGUUUUGGGGGUUCAUGUUUCCAGAAGGAUAUCCUCAACUUAGUUUACAUAUGUGAAUGCAAUGGCCUCCCAGAAGUUGCCAAUUACUGGAAGCAAGUGAUCAAGGUGAAUGACUAUCAAAAG
rnacentral:misc_RNA from 1 species